GCCAUGUAAACCUGAGAUCAGAUGGAAGC
rnacentral:piRNA from 1 species